rnacentral:rRNA from 1 species
GUUGGCGACCAUACUACGUAGAAAGCACCGGUUCUCGUCCGAUCACUGAACUUAAGUAACGUUGGGCCCGGUUAGUACUUGCAUGGAUGACAGACUGGGAAUACCGGGUGUUGCCGGCU